AGAGUUUGAUCCUGGCUCAGGAUGAACGCUAGCGACAGGCUUAACACAUGCAAGUCGAGGGGCAGCAUGAUAGGUAGCAAUACUUAUUGAUGGCGACCGGCGCACGGGUGAGUAACGCGUAUGCAACUUACCUAUCAGAGGGGGAUAACCCGGCGAAAGUCGGACUAAUACCGCAUGAAGCAGGGGCCCCGCAUGGGGAUAUUUGCUAAAGAUUCAUCGCUGAUAGAUAGGCAUGCGUUCCAUUAGGCAGUUGGCGGGGUAACGGCCCACCAAACCGACGAUGGAUAGGGGUUCUGAGAGGAAGGUCCCCCACAUUGGUACUGAGACACGGACCAAACUCCUACGGGAGGCAGCAGUGAGGAAUAUUGGUCAAUGGGCGUAAGCCUGAACCAGCCAAGUCGCGUGAGGGAUGAAGGUUCUAUGGAUCGUAAACCUCUUUUAUAAGGGAAUAAAGUGCGGGACGUGUCCCGUUUUGUAUGUACCUUAUGAAUAAGGAUCGGCUAACUCCGUGCCAGCAGCCGCGGUAAUACGGAGGAUCCGAGCGUUAUCCGGAUUUAUUGGGUUUAAAGGGUGCGUAGGCGGCCUUUUAAGUCAGCGGUGAAAGUCUGUGGCUCAACCAUAGAAUUGCCGUUGAAACUGGGGGGCUUGAGUAUGUUUGAGGCAGGCGGAAUGCGUGGUGUAGCGGUGAAAUGCUUAGAUAUCACGCAGAACCCCGAUUGCGAAGGCAGCCUGCCAAGCCAUGACUGACGCUGAUGCACGAAAGCGUGGGGAUCAAACAGGAUUAGAUACCCUGGUAGUCCACGCAGUAAACGAUGAUCACUAGCUGUUUGCGAUACACUGUAAGCGGCACAGCGAAAGCGUUAAGUGAUCCACCUGGGGAGUACGCCGGCAACGGUGAAACUCAAAGGAAUUGACGGGGGCCCGCACAAGCGGAGGAACAUGUGGUUUAA
rnacentral:rRNA from 1 species